UACAGAGGGGGCAAGCGUUAUUCGGAAUUAUUGGGCGUAAAGGGCGCGUAGGCGGCUUGGCAAGUGGAAGGUGAAAUCCCUCGGCUUAACCGAGGAACUGCCCUCCAAACUGCUUGGCUUGAGACCGGGAGAGGUGAGUGGAAUUCCCAGUGUAGCGGUGAAAUGCGUAGAUAUUGGGAGGAACACCAGUGGCGAAGGCGGCUCACUGGCCCGAUACUGACGCUGAGGCACGAAAGCGUGGGGAGCAAACAGG
rnacentral:rRNA from 1 species